CGGAAACCAUAGAGAUGAACUUCAAGAGAGAGCGGUCCGGAGUCACAAAGGACGCAGAAUCAGGGCCUUGGGGAGCUCCUCCUAAUGGUAACCUACAACUUUACACCCUAAGCUCUGACCCUGAAGACUUGGGACCCAGAGAUUGAGGUGACUGGGACAUUCAAGUGUAAAUACGAAGUAAAACUGAGGAGCGAAUUUGGGGCCGAUUUGUGUGUUGCACCAUGCCUGUACGUGAAGACUGCCCAAUUUGCAGAACAAAACAAGAACAAGGAAAACCAAGGGCUGAAUCUGAAGAAUGAUCGCGUUUGGGGAUGAAAGGAGGCCGUGCCAGUGAAGGAGAGGAAAAGGGCAAGCCGAGAAGAAAUUAAGGCAGGCUCGUUUGACUUGUACUACUCCAGGAGGGGCGAGCGGGGUAGGUUAGCUGUCCACCUGAGAUCCUCGGGUUGAGUCCGCAUUAUCCUUGUAAGCGCCUAAGUCAGCUGAUGAAGAAAGGGACACAAGAAUACGAAAUAUUAAAGUAGUGACUUAAUUCA